rnacentral:rRNA from 1 species
GUUCAGCAGUCAAGAAUAUUAGUCAAUGGCCUAACGGCUGAACCAGCAACUUGGAGGAAUGUAAGUAUAUGUAGGGUUAGCCUUACAUAUGCGUUUCGACUACGUCGUAUAAAGUUCUAGAUAGAAUACUGAUAAUGACAAUUUUCUAUCUAUAUGUCUUGACCAAAUCUCGUGCCAGCAGUCGCGGCAAUACGAGGAAGACUAGUGUUAUUCAUCUUUAUUAGGUUUAAAGGGUACCUAGACGGCAUAUCAAGCCCCAAAAGGGAACAGAUAUACUAGAGUUUUAUGUGAGAGGAAUAUAUUAGUACUAUUGGUGUAGAGAUGAAAUUCUUUGAUACUAAUAGGACGGAUAAGAGCAAAAGCAAACCUUUAUGUAAAAACUGACGUUGAGGGACGAAGGCUUGGGUCGCGAAUAGGAUUAGAUACCCUAGUAGUCCAGGCAGAGAAUUAUGAAUGUUAUAGACUUGCGAAUGUAAGUGUAUAAAUGAAAGUGUAAGCAUUCCACCUCAAGAGUAAUGUGGCAACGCAGGAACUGAAAUCAUUAACCGUUUCUGAAACCAGUAGUGAAGUAUGUUAUUUAA